AGAGUUUGAUCCUGGCUCAGGACGAACGCUGGCGGCACGCCUAACACAUGCAAGUCGAGCGGAGAUUGAGAGCUUGCUCUCAUGAUCAGCGGCGGACGGGUGAGUAACACGUGAGCAACCUGCCUUUCAGAGGGGGACAACAGUUGGAAACGACUGCUAAUACCGCAUAACAUUGCCGAACGGCAUCGUUUGGCAAUCAAAGGAGCAAUCCGCUGAAAGAUGGGCUCGCGUCUGAUUAGAUAGUUGGUGAGGUAACGGCCCACCAAGUCGACGAUCAGUAGCCGGACUGAGAGGUUGAACGGCCACAUUGGGACUGAGAUACGGCCCAGACUCCUACGGGAGGCAGCAGUCGGGAAUAUUGCGCAAUGGAGGAAACUCUGACGCAGUGACGCCGCGUGCAGGAAGAAGGUUUUCGGAUUGUAAACUGCUUUAGACAGGGAAGAAAAAAGACAGUACCUGUAGAAUAAGCUCCGGCUAACUACGUGCCAGCAGCCGCGGUAAUACGUAGGGAGCAAGCGUUGUCCGGAUUUACUGGGUGUAAAGGGUGCGUAGGCGGCUUUGCAAGUCAGAUGUGAAAUCUAUGGGCUCAACCCAUAAACUGCAUUUGAAACUGUAGAGCUUGAGUGAAGUAGAGGCAGGCGGAAUUCCCCGUGUAGCGGUGAAAUGCGUAGAGAUGGGGAGGAACACCAGUGGCGAAGGCGGCCUGCUGGGCUUUAACUGACGCUGAGGCACGAAAGCGUGGGUAGCAAACAGGAUUAGAUACCCUGGUAGUCCACGCUGUAAACGAUGAUUACUAGGUGUGGGGGGUCUGACCCCUUCCGUGCCGGAGUUAACACAAUAAGUAAUCCACCUGGGGAGUACGGCCGCAAGGUUGAAACUCAAAGGAAUUGACGGGGGCCCGCACAAGCAGUGGAGUAU
rnacentral:rRNA from 1 species